ACAGACAGGUGUAGGUGAAGGCAGACAGACAGGUGGAGACAGAGAGGUGUAGGUGAAGGCAGACAGACAGGUGGAGACAGAGAGGUGUAGGUGAAGGCAGACAGACAGGUGGAGACAGACAGGUGGAGACAGGCAGGUGGAGACAGACAGGUGGAGACAGUCGUUACCGGGGACUCUGGAGCGCAGGAAGUAGAGAAACUUUCCGUUCUUUGAGUGCAUGAUGGCUCUUUCUAUGAACUCAACCACAGAGUGACAUCGAUCCUCAAACUUCGGAUGACACCACAGACUGAACGUCCCUGCAGGAGAGAGAGAGAGAGAGAGAGAGAGAGAGAGAGAGAGAGAGAGAGAGAGAGAACAAACAGGUUUAAACCAGAUCAAUACCUAAGGCUCAUGGGUAAUGUAGUAAUUAGAGAGAAAAUAAUGUCCUCACCAUUACACUGGGUUAUAUUCCACAAAACAAGAUUUGCCACAUUUUUGCUUUUCUUACUUUUUUUCUUGUUUGUUAUUUCUUUCAGUUCUAGACAUUUCGAUGCAUAAAAACAAAAACGCCACCUUUUUUGAUCCGCUCAGGCUUCCAUAGAUUUUAACAUUGACUUCCAAUUAUUGCUUUGGGUUUUUUUGUAAGUAGAUUAUAUUGACUAUACUUUUUAAAUCUGAAAUCCUCAGUUAUUGAUUUGCUUAUUAAUUAUGUGUCAGAGAGUGUGUGUGUGUGUGUGUGUGUGUGUGUUACCUCUGU